GCUGAUUGAGUUGGAGAAAUUAAUUAGUGUGCUGAAUUUAGACUUGUUUUUUUCUUUUGUUGUCACUCGUAGGGUUCGCAGUGAUAGUGCAGGUGGACGAGCAUCAGCAUCUCAGCCGAAUAUUUAUAAGUGAUGUUCUCCCUGACGGCUUGGCAUAUGGAGAAGGGUUGAGAAAGGGCAACGAAAUCGUGACCUUAAAUGGGGAAGCUGUGUCUGAUCUUGACCUGAAGCAGAUGGAAGCCUUGUUUUCUGAGCAGAGCGUUGGGCUCACUCUGAUUGCCCGGCCGCCAGACACAAAAGGCACCUUGUGUUCGUCCUGGUCAGACAGUGACCUGUUCUCAAGGGACCAGAGGAGUCUGCUGCCCCCUCCGAACCAGUCCCAGCUUCUGGAGGAGUUCCUGGAUAACUUUAAAAAGAAUACAACCAAUGAGUCGUCCUUCUGAGAUGUUCACUCACAGGCGUCUUCUUCCUGCACAAGCUUUCGCUUCAAAAAUAAAACAAAUUCUGUAUUUGCAAA